rfam:Ornithorhynchus anatinus chromosome 4, whole genome shotgun sequence.
AGCAGAAUGGCUCAGUGGAAAGAGCCCGGGUUUAAGAUUCAGAGGUCAUGAGUUCUAAUCUCGACUCUGCCA